ACGUGUCCAGGAUGGCAGGAUAGGGUGGCAGUACGAUGCGGGUUGUUGAUGAGGAUGGUUGCCGAUGAGGGAGAGGUUGAAUGUGACUAAGUCCACAGGCAGUAAUAUGGUGCCGAUGACUGGGUAAAAAGGUCUGCUGAUGACUAUGGUAAGGGGAUUGCCGAUGACGCGAAGGAGGAGUCCGGAAGCUGCCAGUUGUCAUG
rnacentral:lncRNA from 1 species